rnacentral:rRNA from 1 species
CAGUCGCCGCGGUAAUACGGAGGGUGCAAGCGUUAAUCGGAAUUACUGGGCGUAAAGCGCACGCAGGCGGUUUGUUAAGUCAGAUGUGAAAUCCCCGAGCUUAACUUGGGAACUGCAUUUGAAGCUGGCAAGCUAGAGUCUUGUAGAGGGGGGUAGAAUUCCAGGUGUAGCGGUGAAAUGCGUAGAGAUCUGGAGGAAUACCGGUGGCGAAGGCGGCCCCCUGGACAAAGACUGACGCUCAGGUGCGAAAGCGUGGGGAGCAAACAGGAUUAGAUACCCGCGUAGUCCCUGUCUCUUAUAC